rnacentral:rRNA from 1 species
AACCAGCACCUCAAGUGGUCAGGAUGAUUAUUGGGCCUAAAGCAUCCGUAGCUCGUUUUGUAAGUUUUCGGUUAAAUCCAUACGCUCAACGUAUGGGCUGCCGGGAAUACUGCAUAACUAGGAAGUGGGAGAGGUAAACGGUACUCGAUAGGAAGGGGUAAAAUCCUUUGAUCUAUUGAUGACCACCUGUGGCGAAGGCGGUCUACCAGAACACGUUCGACGGUGAGGGAUGAAAGCUGGGGGAGCAAACCGG